GUCGGUGUAAUCUGAUGUAUUAUAAUUGAAAAUCUUUUUAGUGGAUUGAUUUUCCAAGUUGAGACUUGGAGAGUGGAUGUAGGUGCAAAGUUAGCAUCGAACCACUAUAAAUUCUUAGUGUUUGCUAUGCUUGCAUAUUUUCUUUUCCUUAUUAUACUCUAUACUUGUUCAUUUGUUAAUUAUGUUUGAUCUUUUGUUAUUAUUAAUUAACUCACCUCACUCA
rnacentral:lncRNA from 1 species